rnacentral:rRNA from 1 species
GAUGAACGCUGGCGGCGUGCCUAAUACAUGCAAGUCGAGCGAACAGACGAGGAGCUUGCUCCUCUGACGUUAGCGGCGGACGGGUGAGUAACACGUGGAUAACCUACCUAUAAGACUGGGAUAACUUCGGGAAACCGGAGCUAAUACCGGAUAAUAUAUUGAACCGCAUGGUUCAAUAGUUAAAGACGGUUUUGCUGUCACUUAUAGAUGGAUCCGCGCCGCAUUAGCUAGUUGGUAAGGUAACGGCUUACCAAGGCAACGAUGCGUAGCCGACCUGAGAGGGUGAUCGGCCACACUGGAACUGAGACACGGUCCAGACUCCUACGGGAGGCAGCAGUAGGGAAUCUUCCGAAAUGGGCGAAAGCCUGAAGGAGCAACGCCGCGUGAGUGAUGAAGGUCUUCGGAUCGUAAAACUCUGUUAUUAGGGAAGAACAAAUGUGUAAGUAACUAUGCACGUCUUGACGGUACCUAAUCAGAAAGCCACGGCUAACUACGUG